rnacentral:rRNA from 1 species
AACGAACGCUGGCGGCAUGCCUAACACAUGCAAGUCGAACAACCCGUUCGGGGUUAGUGGCGCACGGGUGCGUAACGCGUGGGGAUCUGCCCAAAGGUUCGGAAUAACUCAGAAGAAAUGUGAGCUAAUACCGGAUAAUGUCUUCGGAACCAAAGAUUUAUGUCCUUUGGAUGAACCCGCGUAGGAUUAGCUUGUUGGUGGGGUAAAGGCCUACCAAGGCGACGAUCCUUAGCUGGUCUGAGAGGAUGAUCAGCCACACUGGGACUGAGACACGGCCCAGACUCCUACGGGAGGCAGCAGUGGGGAAUAUUGGACAAUGGGCGAAAGCCUGAUCCAGCAAUGCCGCGUGAGUGAUGAAGGCCUUAGGGUUGUAAAGCUCUUUUACCAGGGAUGAUAAUGACAGUACCUGGAGAAUAAGCUCCGGCUAACUCCGUG